UUUCAGAUCUGGCAACUUUUCAACAAAGCCACCGAAGACACAGUGUCCACUUCCCAGUUGGUGGCGCCACCAAACGCCCGGUUCCUCAAGCCAGUGAGCAGGCGGCAUCCUCAGGCCCUCCCUCGUCUUCCAGCUGCCAUGGAAUCCAUUCAAUUGAAAAUGCACCCCUGUCUGUCCACUCCUCUCCACACCCUGCUGCUAUCCCCAAAUCUGCACUUCUGUCCUCACCUGGGUCAUUACAACAGCCCCCAUGGGCCCUCCUGCUCCCACUCCUCUUCCCACGCCUGAAAUCUACUCUCUGCACACACCCAGAGUGAGCUCCUGAAAAUGACCACAUGACCCUGAGUGGAUGUUUCAGCGACUCCCACUGCACUGGGAACAGCAGACUCCACCUCCUCAUCACCUCCUACAAGGCCCAGCAGAAUCUUGCUGGUUCCCCAGAUCACAUCCUGCUACCUCCCGUCAUUCUCCCAUCCCAGCCACACUGGCCUCCAGCUCCUCCUCCUACUCCCCAGUCCUCCUGCCCUGGGGCCUGUGCAUCUGCUGCUCCUGUGUCCUGGAAUGCUCUUCCCACAGUCGCCCUGUGACCUGCGCCCUCUUGACCUUUGUUCUUCACCCAGGUGUCAUGCACUCAGAGAACGCCCCUGACCUUCCCAAGGAAGUCCUCUGCACUCCAACACCAUGUCCCUGUGACCUGCACAAAACUGUCACCAUCUGGAAUUGAUUCCCUCUCUUCCUGUGGUGCUAUUGUCAUUUGCACCCACAGGAAUGUCACAUGCAUGAAGAGUGGAAUUUCAUCUGUCUGUUUGCUGCUGGAUCCCUGCUGUAAGUAAGAAAAGGGUCUGUGGCAGAGUGAGCUCUGGAUGAGGAUUUGCUGAGGAAUUGAAUGCGGGAAAGACUCAGAGAAUGGAAUGCUGAGAAUUCUACAAUAAAUGUUUGAAUCCUAGAGUACUGGAGUCAGGAGAAGCCCUUGGAAGCCAUUUAGACAAACCCAUUCAUUUGCAAAGGGGUAAACUUAGGCUGAGGAGGAAAAAGUGACUUGCUCCACAUCCCAAGGCCCGAGGGUCUUCUCCCCGCUCUGAUGGGAGAUGGACCCGCUUUGUGCUGUUGUGUGUAUGAGGGUGAUGUGUGGCUAGGGGUGAAAGGGCUGCUUCUGCCCUUUGACUCAUUGCCUAGGAAAAUAGGGACAAAAGUCACAAAUGUUUCAAAAUGCAAACAACUAAAGACAACGUCGUUCAGUAGAGACAGAGUGGGUGUUUGGGUUGACAGAGGAACAGAAAAGCUGCCCUGAGGAUGAGGAGGGAAGAGGGGGCUUGAGAGUGGGUGAGGCUCAAAUGUGACCUUCAACUCCUGGGAGGCGGUAGGCAAGGACACGGCCAAGGCAAAACCCUCAAGAGUGUAAUUCACCAACAGAAGCAUUCAGUGAGCACCCUCGGGGCCUGAAGGUCUUUCCAAAGGAGUGUUUGGUGUCUCAGCCUGAAAGAAGCAGUAAUGGUAGGAUUGAAGGCACACAGCAAUCCAGGAAGAAGGCAAUGGUACGUAGAGCCCUGAAAUCACACCAGAUGGCCCGUUACUCCUUAGUCUCUAGAUUCAGCUGGUUCUGCAAGAAGAGUUAUCAGGCUAUCAGUUUUCUCCUUUAUUUCUCUUGCAAGCAUCCUUCUGUACCUUUAAGACACAGCAUCUAAGUAGCUUUGAUGCUACUUAGGCCUACAAUGGAGAAAUUAAGAAAACAUUAAAACCAGAACCACUGGAACAUGAUGAUGUGCGGCUUAAAGGUUACCCAGGAGGGGCUGACCUCAAUUAGGACGUUGAUGCUGGAUUUGGUGCUCUGGUUUUCCUCUACUUUAAAAACGGUUGGAUCCCUGAUCUGCCAAGAUGCCAGGGAGAUGGAGAAACAUUUACGUGCAUGGAGGAAAAAAUAUCUUUUUGGUUACAAAGUGAGAAUCACAGUUAUUCUACCACCAUUAAGCCAGAAAACCAUUGUCUAAAAUGGAGAUUUUUUUUUCUUUUUUAAUGUGUAAAUGAACUUCUUGGUUGGUUUAAAGGGACAAAGGUUCCUAUCAGCCUUCAGAGCUGGUCAUUCAUCAGUGGACUGGUAAAUGCAGAACGGGGUUCGAGUCUGUGUAUUCUUUAGUGGAACAGUGGGUAAUGUCCUUUUGACUCACGAAUCAGUUUCCUUCAUUCUUCUGGGCUAGUGACCCACUUCCUCCGGCUUCCCUUAGCUGCACCUGGUGUUUCUGUGGGAAAGGCUUUCACACUGACAUUCUGGUUUGAUAGUGAAUGUUGAUGAACACCAGGCCUGCUUAUGCACAAGAGCUUCUGACCUGAGAUCAGAGCAGGAAACAGAAUUUUAAAGAAAUGUCUCAAGAGUCAUAGAAGGCGGGAGCCAAGAAGUGAUCACUAUUGACCUCAAGCUCAAAGAUCCAUGGGAGGUAGCAAAACUCAACAGGAUGAGUGGUGAAUCCCUGGGUCCUUGGUCAAAGGUCCUGAAGUCAAAUCAGAAGAGAAAAAGCAAAUUUGUCCAUGUGAGAAAUUUAUUUCAAAAAGGCAGAUCCAAAAAUUUGACUUGACAAAGCGUGGUGGGUUUUGUAAAUAAAAAUAAAUGGUUAUAAAGAGGA